rnacentral:rRNA from 1 species
CAGUCGCCGCGGUAAUACGGAGGGUGCAAGCGUUAAUCGGAAUUACUGGGCGUAAAGCGCACGCAGGCGGUCUGACAAGUCAGAUGUGAAAUCCCCGGGCUUAACCUGGGAACUGCAUUUGAAACUGUCAGGCUGGAGUCUUGUAGAGGGGGGUGGAAUUCCAGGUGUAGCGGUGAAAUGCGUAGAGAUCUGGAGGAAUACCGGUGGCGAAGGCGGCCCCCUGGACAAAGACUGACGCUCAGGUGCGAAAGCGUGGGGAGCAAACAGGAUUAGAUACCCUGUAGUCCCUGUCUCUUAUACA